GAUUCUUAUUAGUGAUGCAUGUCACCACUUGAAUCAACAAGUGUCACUUCUGUUAUCAGCAAAACCUAUUGCUCCAAGGUCCUGCUUCACAGAAAGAGAAAGGGUCAAGGCCACAGCUUCUAGAUGAGACAUCUCAAGCCCAGGAACUAAAUGAGCCGCUGAGAGUCAACUCGUGAAAGACACCCCCCCUUAUUCAGGCACAACAACCACAUUGGUUGGAUUCCUUCAGCAUUAACUGCAAAGAUAACUUAGGGCCAAAGUAUGGGGCAGGGGAAGAUGCUCACUACACUAGAUUUCCUUACAAGACGAAGCCAGAGAGUCUCACUGAAAGCCUCCGGCCUGGCUUCAUCCUCUGGGCCUACAAUUUACAAGCCUUUGGCUUAAGUUGACAGUGCCCUACAUUGGCCCUUGGUAUACAGGUAUGCUGACUGUCAAGUGAGGACUCUAGAUAUCCCAAGUCUGGCCUCCUAUGUGGGCUGAUGAAGGUAGGGCUCCAACACUAGACUUUGUAUAAGGCAACAUUUAACUGUUGCAAAUGCUGGGAUUCUGCAGUCCUGUCUUACCCAUGAUUAGAAAGAAGAAAGUCUUAGGGUUUUGCUGAGGACUGAACUCUCAUCCCUGGAAUUCUGGUCUCUUUGACAGAUUUUCUUUCUUCUUCCUUUCUGGUACUGUAGAAUGCUGCCACUGUCUACCAACUAAGGGAUAUUAAGCUUUAGAAGUU
rnacentral:lncRNA from 1 species